GAUGAAGAACGUAGCGAAAUGCGAUAAGUAAUGUGAAUUGCAGAAUUCAGUGAAUCAUCGAAUCUUUGAACGCACAUUGCGCCCGCCUGUAUUCUGGCGGGCAUGCCUGUUCGAGCGUCAUUACAACCCUCAAGCCCCCCGGCUUGGUGUUGGGGACCGGCCACCGGUGCCCUGCUGCUUCCGCGGCAGGCGCGCCCGGCCGCCCCCGAAAUGAAUUGGCGGCCCCGUCGCGGCCUCCCUCUGCGUAGUAGCACACAUCUCGCAGCUGGAGCGCGGCGCGGCCACUGCCGUAAAACGCACCAACUUUUUUUUACAGUUGACCUCGAAUCAGGUAGGAAUACCCGCUGAACUUAAGCAUAUCAAUAAGCGGAGGA
rnacentral:misc_RNA from 1 species